rnacentral:rRNA from 1 species
UACGGAGGAUGCAAGCGUUAUCCGGAAUUAUUGGGCGUAAAGCGUCCGUAGGUGGUGGUGCAAGUCAGCUGUUAAAGCGUGGAGCUUAACUCCAUAAGGGCAGUUGAAGCUGCGCCGCUAGAGUGCGAUAGGGGCAAGGGGAAUUCCCAGUGUAGCGGUGAAAUGCGUAGAUAUUGGGAAGAACACCGGUGGCGAAAGCGCCUUGCUGGGUCUGCACUGACACUGAGGGACGAAAGCUAGGGGAGCGAAAGGG